rnacentral:lncRNA from 1 species
GGCAGUCCAGGUAGCUCAUUUGAAAAAAACAUCAAAAUUUUUUUUGACAAUUAAAAUAUUGUCCAACUCUAUUUUCUUCUUCUGGGCAUCUACUACAUAGGCCAAAAAUGCCUUCCAUUCUUUUCUUAAAGCCUUCCGUACGUUCAUAACUAAGAUGAUACUUGAAGAAAGCUUAAACUGUUUGGGUUCCGCAUUAAGAGCUUUACCUUAGAAGAAGAACUGUGGCUCAUCCAGAAUUUGAAACACCACUCUUUUUUUAAAACAAUCAAUAUGGGCAUGGUACGAGGAUAACC